GUGAGGAAUAUUGGUCAAUGGGCGAGAGCCUGAACCAGCCAAAUCGCGUGAAGGAUGAAGGUAUUAUGUAUUGUAAACUUCUUUUAUCGGGGAAUAAAGUGCACCACGUGUGGUGUUUUGUAUGUACCCGAAGAAUAAGGAUCGGCUAACUCCGUGCCAGCAGCCGCGGUAAUACGGAGGAUCCAAGCGUUAUCCGGAUUUAUUGGGUUUAAAGGGUGCGUAGGCGGACUGUCAAGUCAGCGGUGAAAGUUCAUGGAUCAACCAUGGAAUUGCCGUUGAAACUGUCGGUCUUGAGUGUAGAUGAGGUAGGCGGAAUUCGUAGUGUAGCGGUGAAAUGCUUAGAUAUUACGAAGAACUCCAAUUGCGUAGGCAGCUUACCAGGCUACAACUGACGCUGAGGCACGAAGGUGCGGGGAUCAAACAGGAUUAGAUACCCUAGUAGUCC
rnacentral:rRNA from 1 species